rnacentral:rRNA from 1 species
UGGGGAAUAUUGCACAAUGGGCGAAAGCCUGAUGCAGCGACGCCGCGUGAGGGAUGACGGCCUUCGGGUUGUAAACCUCUUUCAGCAGGGAAGAAGCGAAAGUGACGGUACCUGCAGAAGAAGCGCCGGCUAACUACGUGCCAGCAGCCGCGGUAAUACGUAGGGCGCAAGCGUUGUCCGGAAUUAUUGGGCGUAAAGAGCUCGUAGGCGGUUAGUCGCGUCUGCUGUGAAAAUCUCGAGGCUCAACCUCGGGCUUGCAGUGGGUACGGGCUGACUAGAGUGCGGUAGGGGUGACUGGAAUUCCUGGUGUAGCGGUGGAAUGCGCAGAUAUCAGGAGGAACACCGAUGGCGAAGGCAGGUCACUGGGCCGCAACUGACGCUGAGGAGCGAAAGCAUGGGGAGCGAACAGGAUUAGAUACCCUGGUAGUCCAUGCCGUAAACGUUGGGCACUAGGUGUGGGGUCCAUUCCACGGAUUCCGUGCCGCAGC